CGAACGCUGGCGGCGUGCUAACACAUGCAAGUCGAACGCGAAAGGGACUUCGGUCCUGAGUAAAGUGGCGCACGGGUGAGUAACGCGUAGAUAACCUGUCUUCAUGUCUGGAAUAAUACGCCGAAAGGGGUACUAAUACCAGAUAUUCUUGCUUUUCAUAAGUUAUGCAAGCAAAGGUGGCCUCUGCAUAUGCUACUGCAUGAAGAGGGGUCUGCGUACCAUUAGCUAGUAGGUGGGGUAAUGGCCUACCUAGGCGACGAUGGUUAGCGGGUCUGAGAGGAUGAUCCGCCACACUGGCACUGGAACACGGGCCAGACUCCUACGGGAGGCAGCAGUGAGGAAUAUUGCGCAAUGGGGGAAACCCUGACGCAGCGACGCCGCGUGAGUGAGGAAGGCCUUCGGGUCGUAAAGCUCUGUCAAGAGGAAAGAAGUGUACAAUGGCUAAUACCUGUUGUAUUUGACGGUACCUCUAAAGGAAGCACCGGCUAACUCCGUGCCAGCCGCCGC
rnacentral:rRNA from 1 species